rnacentral:rRNA from 1 species
ACGAACGCUGGCGGCGUGCUUAACACAUGCAAGUCGAACGGAAAGGCCCUGCUUGCAGGGUACUCGAGUGGCGAACGGGUGAGUAACACGUGGGUGAUCUGCCCUGCACUUCGGGAUAAGCUUGGGAAACUGGGUCUAAUACCGGAUAGGAACCAUCUUUAGUGUGGUGGUUGGAAAGUUUUUUCGGUGUAGGAUGAGCUCGCGGCCUAUCAGCUUGUUGGUGGGGUAAUGGCCUACCAAGGCGGCGACGGGUAGCCGGCCUGAGAGGGUGUACGGCCACAUUGGGACUGAGAUACGGCCCAGACUCCUACGGGAGGCAGCAGUGGGGAAUAUUGCACAAUGGGCGCAAGCCUGAGGCAGCGACGCCGCGUGGGGGAUGAAGGCCUUCGGGUUGUAAACUCCUUUCGCUAGGGACGAAGCUUUGUUGUGACGGUACCUAGAUAAGAAGCACCGGCUAACUACGUG